rnacentral:sRNA from 1 species
GGGAUGUUUUUAAAGGGGUUGUGUAGAAGGGCAGAGACACCCUUGGAAAGUGUCACUGUUGCCCUCAAUUGCUGGAGAGCCUGGAGGCUGUCAUAAGUCCACCCAUCAAAGUAAUUGCCAGUGUUUUGAUAACAAGCAACAGAAACAACCCUGGCUGCUGUAAGCAGCAAAGGAGAUUAUUCGAAGGAGCUUGGGCAGUGCUGGAGAAUUGACAGGAUGGCUGGAGAACAGGACUCAGAAAACAGGCAGGAACUGAGAGAGCUGGGUGGUCAGAGCCCUAGCCCUAGCCAAGGGGACAAUUCAGGAAUGACCUGGUCAGGGGGCCACUGUUGCUAACACUGGAUGCCAGAUUCUGCUACUGACACCAGAAUAAAUUCGGAGCCAGUCCCUCCUCCUCUGCCCUACCAGCUCCAGAGGCAGAUCCCAAGGAGGGCUUCCAUCUGUCGAGCCCAGGUUCACAGGCCUGCCUCCCAGCCUCCAAUCCCAGGAAGAGCCCUGAGGCCUUCUCAGCUUCUGUGAUGGGAGGUUGGGCCUCUCUCCAAGACUUACACACAGGGAGAGGCUCAGGGGCUGGGCAGCCAAAAAAUGACCACAGACAUUCACCUCCAAGGUCAAAGCGAAAGUCAUGUUCUCAGUGGUUGGGUGGCCGUGGUGGCAUCUUAAAAGCAUGGAUGUGCUGAGGUUACAUAUACACUGAGUGGAGGGAGGCAGAGUAAGCCUGACCCAUACAGCCUUCAUUUAGCCUGAAUCAGGCAGGGACUUGAAGAACGAAGUGGCCUCAGCAGCCACAAUGACUCCCUGAGAGCUGAAUGACACCUCACAUCACUGGGGGUUAGUGACAGAUCUGAGAUGGUCACACCAGCCCCUGGACUUGCCAGCUGAGUUUCUUGUGUGCCCAGUGGCCAGCCCAGUGGCAGUUUCUACAAGUGUCUUUCAGUGAACCACUCACCCCCUAGCUUGUCUGCUGAGACGAGGGUCUAGAAACAAUACGCUUGUGGUGAAAUGCCCAUCCAGUCACACGGCACGGGGCUCCUGAGUUGGAGCUACACUUUGUGGUAUGCAUCUUAACACACCCAGCCCCUCACCAUUCUCCAAAGAUCCUGGCACCUCCGUGGAGUGUCAGAACUGCAGUGUGGGCCAUGGCUCAUCAGGCCCAGCGUUUUCCAGAGGCCAAGGGUAAGCCCUGAGUUUGGCCGCUAAACUGUGAGUCCUGAGUUCGCAUGCUCUGUCUGGUGCUGGCUCUGUUGUCCACUGCCUUGGGAGGACGCAUCACAAGGACUUUAAUCUCCUACUGUCAAUAGCUUUAAGGUAAAGUACAUGCAGGGUAAGCUCUCCAAAUGUCAGAGCCAGGCGCAGGCCUUGUGUUUGGUGCUGAUGCAUGGCAUUUACUCUGAAGGUUCAGGAAAGUACAUGGGCUUUGCGGGGUGUGGCUGCCUAAAUACGGGUUAAUUAGCAACAGCUUACAGCAGCGCCCCCGGCCACGGGAGAGAGGUGACCCAGACCCUUGAUAAAAAACCCUCAUGGGAGACAAAUUAUUCUGUGAAGGAAAAUAACUCAGGCUGUUCCUCAUUGCCACCCUCCGUGAGAUUUUACCCCAGACCUGAGGCGGCAGUACUAACAGGACUCUGAUCUUUCUCUUUGUGUUCAAGGAUAUCCCAACUUCGUGGCAACCUAUGGCCGUGGCUACCCUGGAUUUGCUCCAAGCUAUGGCUAUCAGUUCCCAGGUGAGUGGCUUGGUCUCCUAGGGCUUUGGAAGCACAAGAGGUGGGCUGCAUUUGGGGGGAGGUGAGAGGACCCCUAAAGAGAAGGCAUUUCUCACGUGCAUCCACUUGAAAAUGACCUAUACGUGAUAAAUUUCAAAUCCACUGAAGUUCAAGGCCAGGAUGCAGCUCAGAGUUUCUGAUUAACUCAGGUAUAACUCACUGGUGCUGGGUAUUUGAGAACGGCAGCUUUUAAAGGGAAAGCAGGAGAACCGAGGCAGGAGGCCUCCUUGUGCUCACCUCCUUUUUCUGAAGCCUCUUCUGGGUUUUUUCUCACUGGGGACUGAACUCUAGGCCCAGGGCUUUCUUUCACCCUCUACCACCCCUUGCCUGCCUCCCCGCUCCCUGUGUCCACCUGCCCAAUGUUUGAUGUCUCCCCACCCUUCCUUCCUUUCCUCCACCCCUCCUCCUCCUGCUCGGUCCUGACUGCUGUGGCUUCGGUGCCCUUCUGGGCUGUGUUGAUGUUGAGCUGCUGGGGGUUGGGGCUGCUGUCCAUCCUGGGUGGGCUGUUUAGAUUCUCCUUUCCCUCUGCGUGGGUAUCAAGACUUGAGUCAGAGCCCAUGGUGAUUCCUGCCACACGCCAGGGCUGCUCCAGCUCCAGCUCCAGGUAGCUGGCAGGCCUGGGACCUCACCUGGGAGAAGCAGCGAGGGGAAACAUGGUCUUGUAGGGAUGGGGUAGGGACAAUGAAGGAAGCGAUGUUUUACAGGGUGUGCCUUUUCCCAGCCUUUCUCAAAUCUGAAGUACAGAUAAGAAUAUAUUGGGGUGUUUGUGGGUGUCCAUGUGCAAAGGACAGCCGAGAUUCCAGAGGAGGUGUUAGGGACAGAGUCUUGUCCCCUGUGAGUUCUCUGCUGAGGGAGGAGGCUCCCUGGGGAGCUGGGCUGCAGGUGGAGUUUCACCCCUGCCUUGUCGUCAUGCCUAGACCUGGAGGUCUGGGAGUGUCAGGGUCUGAGAUGAAUUAGGAAGCAAAGGGAGUGAAGACGUGUCGCUGGAAGAUGGCGCCCUGACACUGAUGACAGGAGGGCAGAGUGAGGGCUUGGCCUGGUCUUUGCCUCAGACCGAGCAUUGGGGCGGGAAAGGUGUAGGCGGGGAGAUCAGGAGGCAUUUGGGGGCACCUAGAGCCGUGCUCUAUGGCAGACAGAUCCCUCAGCCAGCGGUGGAAGCCCCAGGCUCUUGUCCUGUCUCCGACACCACCUGGCCAAGUGGCCAUGGGCAGGUCACUCAGCUUCUCGGGCCUUACUUCUCUCUUUUGGAAAGGGGGGUCUACGAGGAAUGGUCUUUGGGGUCUGUGCCCCUCUCUGAUCGUGUGGGUCAGAGGGUGCAGGGAAGGCAGGCACAGAAGCAGAAGUCCAAGAUGGAGGAGUUUGAGUGCAGGUGGCUCCCCCACCAGUGUCCCCUGGGGCUGGGGUGGUUCCCCAUCUGGGAGGGGCCUCAGCAAGGCUCCUUGGCCUGCACUAAGGAAGCUGUCCCCAAAGAUGCCCCCCAGCAGCAGGCUGCUUCAGGAUGGCCACAGGCUCCCAGACCUGAAGAAAAGAAGGGCACAUGCAAGAAGAACCACCACAAGGGAGGCCAGCACUCAACCAGCCACUGUCAUUAGACUUUCCCAUUUCCAGGCAGAGACCCCUACCAGGCACAGGCACAGAGGUAGAAACUCCUUCUGAAGGGGUCACAGUACGCAAGGGGUGGGACCUGCAUUUGGACCAGGCGGUCUGGGCCUUAACUGCCACCCUCCACCAUCUCCCUAGUGUCCAUUUUUCUGGUACAAUAACACUGGCCACAAGUAGCUACUAAAACUUAGGUUUAAAUUAAAGUUGGCUGGGUGUGGUGGCUCACGCCUGUAAUCCCAACACUUUGGGAGGCCAAGCUGGGAGGAUCACUUGAGGUCAGGAGUUCAAGACCCGCCUGGUCAACAUGGUGAAACCCCAUGUCUACUAAAAAUAUAAAAAUGAGCCGGGCGUGGUGCCAGGCAUCUAUAAUCCCAGCUACUCCGGAGGCUGAGGCAAGAGAAUCACUUGAACCCAGGAGGCAGAGUUGCAGUGAGCCGAGAUCACACCACUAUACUCCAGCCUGGAUGACAGAGUGAGACUCUGUCUCAAAAAUAAGAAGAAGAAUAAGAAGAAGUAAAAAGAAAAUUUCAGUUCCUUUAGAAACACUGGCCACAUUUCAGUGACUCAGUAACCAUGUGUGGCAAGUGGCUAUUGCCAACACAGAAUGUAGAACAGUCACCGUGGAAAUUUCUUAUGGGCUGGUGCUGUUCCAGUGCCUAAAGGAAGAGGGCUGUUAUUGGGGGGUGCAUGGUCCACACACUUAAACAUGCGCACCGCUCCUUCCCGGAGAGACCCGUGGGGUCAGCGUCCCUGUGCUUCAUUCUCUGCCUGGCUUGCUCAGCCCAGAAACUGGUGGCAGGUUCAAAGGGAGCUUUUCCUCUCACUUCCUCCCCUGGCUUCCCCUCCAGGGGAUGACAGGCGCAAAGGCUCACGCAUCUCAGCCCUCCAGAUGCAGCCUUGAUCUGUGCACUCAGCCUGCACAACCUGCUCCCCUCCGUAAUCAGGCUGCCAUUGCCCCUGAGUGUGAUGCUAGUCCCAGGAGGACAGAGUUGAGGGAUCUUAACAUGGAAUAAUUGGGGGAGGGCAUCAAUGUGGACCCCAUGCUAAGGCCCCUGUCUCAUCAGAGGGCCUGCCCCAGGGCCCCCAUGAGCUGGCUCAGGAGACAUCUGGUAGAACUCUGCCUCCAUGGCCUGCAUCCCUGGGCCUGCCCCAGGCAGAUGGACAUGCAGCAGUGACCAGACUGAGGCUGGGCAGAGUGAGAUAGGGUCCCCUGGGUGCCCAGCCCUUCACCAAAGCCAAGACUUUGGGAACUGGGGGGGAUGGGCCGCGGAGAGGAGGAUAGAGUGGGGUUGGAGUAUUUAUGCCCAGGGCCCAUCUGUUUGUCAUAGCCACAGCCCCUGCAGCUUAAUACAAUCAGGUGGGUUUGAAUGGGAUAGAAAUCAGGCAUUACAAUGUACAGACAGCAGCUUCCUGACCUUUGGGAGUUAGCUGCCCUGUUCUCAACCAUCAGACUUUUAUUUUUCCAUCCUUCCCACCUUCCCACUCACUAUGGAAGCCUCUUGAUUCUCUUAACUAAUGGCCAGAAGGGGGCCACCAGUGGCCACAAGAGUAAGGCUGCCUGCUCUCAGGGAGGGCAAGAGUGGAGUGGCCCUGAACUGGGAAGGGUGGCCCGUGGCUGGGGCCACCCACCCCACUCAUCUGAGAAGCCAGGCUAGGGUCGGAGUCUACUCCUCUCCCGACCCCUUCCCAAAGGAUAUACUCCUUGUGGAGUGAUGUGUCUGUGCUUAUCCCAGAUGCCUCCCCAAGCAGCCAAAUGUUUCCAGACACAAAGCCUAGGUAGGUCCAUGUGUCGUUCCAGUCAAGAGUGCAGGGAGUAGCUGAGCCCCUCUAGAACCAAACUUGAUUCCUGCUGGAGCCACAGCCUCAGGGCCAGGGCUACAGAAAAGCUUCGGGAUGCCCUGACUUCCAUCUGUCACCUCAUGCCAAUAAGGAAAGUUUCAGGUGGAUGUGGCCAAGGCGGCUGGGGUACAGAAGGGGGACCCAGAGAUGGGGCAGCCCAGCCCUCUGCCCUCUCCUCAUCCCCAUCAGGUAGAUUCUGUGGACCCCUGCCAUGCCCCAGGAUCCUGUGACUUCGUGACAUUGCACAGCAGUCAUGUCACCUCCCAACUGUUGUGAUGUUUUCUUUGUGGUCUUUCUUUUCAGUGUCCUCACUGUAUGCCCACUUUACCCACUUCCCACCUCCAGUCCCCCUCAUGCUGUGCGUGGAUCCCGAACCUCUCCCAGCCCCUUUCUGAGUCCCCCUAGCAGGGCCAUGCAAGACAGCUAGCUGGGAGAAAUGAAAGCACGCCCAGGCCUAGAGAGCUCCGAGACUCUUCUUCCUGGCUGUUCUCACUCAUAAACCAGGUAGCCUGGGUCCCCUUUCAGGAAGAUGCAAUCUGAUCCCCUUUUUGAAGGGUCCUCCUUUCCACCUAGACUUACCCUUUCUAUGAACAUCCAUCUCAUCUGGUUGGGGAUGCAGAUAUCACCCUUAGUAGAGCCUCAUUCUUGCCAUGUGACAUGGGGCUGCAGGGACCUUCCUGGGCCACACAGCUGGUGGCAAGUGGCACCUGGCUGUGCCCAUCUUCAGAAUUCUAUGAGAAUAAAUAUAAUGUUCCUAGAGAAGGCUAGACACUGGAUAGUUUUUAGAGUGGGGAGUAGUUCUUUUCUAGAAAGGCUGGGUGGUGACCAACCACUCUGGGAACAGCUCCUUCUUCCCACAUCCAGGUGUCCACCCCAGCCCAGAAUUUGGAUCAGGAUCCCGUCUUGAAUUAUUAUGGGUUGUGAUCAGGGAUCUCCCCUGCUUCCUCUCUUUUCCCCACUCUGGACUUCUCAUUUCAGUUUAAUCUGUUAAUUUCUGUUCUUAUUUCACUUUGCAGACUAUUUGCCGAUUUCACAAGACAUAAUUUUUAUCAACUAGCUCUUAAGAGAGGCAUAGCAAAGUGGGGUUUGCUACCGUUUCUAGAGAGAGAGGACACAGUCCGGCCUGGGCCGCCCCCCGCUCCAGUCAGUGCUCACUGAAAGUCUGUCUUAGCUGCCUGUUUGAAUGAAUGUUCUUUUUCUCAUUUUUAAUUCUUGGACUCGUGUCCUCAUUGCUUCAGUCAAUUAAAAAAAAAUUAUUCUCCAGUCCCCUCCCACUUUGCUUCUUGUAUGCAUUGUGACCGACCCACUUCCUCAGAAUGUAACGGGGCCAGAGGGAAACUUCUCACAAACUUCGUAGAGCCUCCUCAGGGGAAGCUAGGAAGAAGACAUCAAAUGUUUUUAAGUCAUGACCAAACAGGCUUGUUGGGGACAUAUCAUGGGGUGAGCUUUGAACUGCUGGUGGUCCAGAGGGGUUGCAGAUACGUGACUUGGAGCACCUGUGUCUUACAGUGGACAGUGAUAAAGGUGAACACACAGAGACAGACUAUUCUCUAAGAAUGAGAAAAACCUAAUCUGGAAGAGGAGCUAUAUAAACACUAUCUGACUAUCUUUGUCUUUUGUGGCCAGUGUCUGUUGCCAUAAUCACAAGCCUGUCUGUCUUCGAGAAGGGACAGUGGAGUCACCUAGGUGCUACCACAUGGCAGGCACAGUGGGCACCGAUCCACAGUGGGCCCCGCCUUCCCCAGCUCGCCUCCCUGCCCGUGCCGGCCUGGCCUUGCCUGCUGGCACCAUUGGAGUAGGAGGGGGUGGAACACAGGAGGCCUAUCCUGAUCAGGCCCCAUCUCAAGGCUGGCACUCCUGCCCAUCACCCUUAGAAGGAUCUUUUCCCAUGGCUUGACUCCCUCCAUUUCCCUGACUGAAAUACACCCACUCUCUUGGAUUAAAGAUGUACCACUCAGUUGGACCCUCAAGAGUCACCGCUUUGUCUGUGCUGGUAGUUUGUGAGAAGUGACCCGCGCGCUUCCAUUUGAUGCAUUUGAUGUGAGUGAAUCCAUACAUUUGAAUGUCAUUGUCCUUGAGACCCUACACGUGCAGUUUGGCUCAUCUCAUUAAAGAUGCUUGAUGUAAUAAUUGGUUAGUUUCCUUUUAUUUUCCUGCAGGCUUUUCCAUGAGUAUUAUUUUUUUCAAAGAACAAAUCUGUAUGGCUUUCCCCCCCUCCAUAUUUUGUUUUGCUAGGAAUUGCUUUGCUUUGGUGAACUUGUCCUAGUAUGCUUGCCUCACAAACGUUUUAGCCAUUGUGAAUUUUCUUCAUCUCUGUAAAUAGUUCAUCUGUGCUUCUCCCUGAUGACGUUUUAUUUUUUUCCCCUGUAAGCAACUGAGGUAGAAAAAUAAAUUGUUUACCACGGA